rnacentral:rRNA from 1 species
AGCAGCCGCGGUAAUUCCAGCUCCAAUAGCGUAUAUUAAAGUUGUUGCAGUUAAAAAGCUCGUAGUUGAAUUUUGGGCCUGGUCGGGCGGUCCGCCUUUUGGUGAGUACUGUCAUUGUGCCGGGUCUCUUUUUCUGGUGAGCUAGUGUUCUCUUCACUGGGUGCGCUAGGGAAUCAGGACUGUUACCUUGAAAAAUUAGAGUGUUUAAAGCGGGCAUUUGCUUGAAUACAUUAGCAUGGAAUAAUGAAAUAGGACGGCGUUUCUAUUUUGUUGGUUAUGGGGACACCGUAAUGAUUAAUAGGGAUAGUUGGGGGCAUUAGUAUUCAAUUGUCAGAGGUGAAAUUCUUGGAUUUAUUGAAGACUAACUACUGCGAAAGCAUUUGCCAAGGAUGUUUUCAUUAAUCAAGAACGAAAGUUAGGGGAUCGAAGACGAUCAGAUACCGUCGUAGUCUUAACCAUAAACUAU